AUUGCAUACCCUCCUCCUUUAUACCAGAGCAGACUUUCUGUGGCUGUCCAAUCACAGACUUCUCUAAUUUCUUGAGUGUAGCUUCACUGAGCUAAACAAACCAGGAACUAAACGGAGACACUGGACACACUCUUCCACAAACGGAUGUGCAUUAUAUGUUUGGAGUGUGUGCUUGUUCAGAAGAUUCUGUGGGGUCGUUUCAGAAAGCAAAUUCCUUUUAGAAGGAUCCUUACUGUGAAAUAAACUGAUUGGUUGAAUCUGCAAGUCAAUAAUAAGUGUAUUGAAGUCAUGCAUGUAAAGGCAU